AGGAGCCAGCAGGGGAGAGGUUCCUGCACAGCAUUAGAUGUGUCUGACUUCUAAGGAAAAUGAGACUCCAGACACAUUGAUGGGGCAUCAACAAGACUGUGGAUAGGAAAUGAGUGAGCUGCCAACUAUUGAGCUGCUGAGCCGGAGACCACAAGACUCCACUUCUGUCCCCAUCAUCGCAGAGCCCUGCCAUCUGGAGCAGACCUCUGAGGAGAACUCAGCCCGCAGUGACCAUGUUCAGCAGGGCCUCGAGACAGAAGUGCAUCCUUAGCCAGGCCAGCUCAGCGCUGGGGAGAAGCAAGCCCAGAGAAGAUGCUGCAGACAAGGAGGAACAGGGGCUCCCACAGCACCCAUUCCACCAACUGAGAAAGAGACCACAGGCACAGAAGAGGGCACCACAGCAGGACAGUCCAAUCAGGGCUCUAGGACCACUUGACCAGGCUCUCCAGGCAGUGCCAGUGGCUCCACUGUGUCUGGAUCAUCUGUGGCAGGGCAACACACCAAGGCUCCAUCAUCCCAGGGCUCUGGCACCACUGGACCAGCACCUAAUGACUCUGGAAAAACAGGGCCACCUGCAGAAAGCUCUGGGACCUCAGGCAAGCCUCAGUAAGGAUGUCAGUCCACAAGCUCAUCUGUCCAUCGACCUGGCACCUCUCAACCAGCUGCAGUGCAGACUAGAACCACUGGGCUAUCUGUCAUGGAGGCAGGAACCACAGGGUAAUCCGUGCAAGACUCCAGGACCACCCGGCCUGGCUCAGCAGGCAGUAGCAGUGGAUCCACUGGGGCUGGAACAGCAGGAGCAGGGCGCCAGACCACGGCUCCAUCAUCCCAGGGCUCUGGCACCACUGGACCAUCUUCUGUUGUCUCUCAGACUUCAAGCCAGUCUAAGGAAGGAUCUGAAUCCACAGGCUCAUCUGUCAUAGGAUCUGAUUCCACUUCAACCUCAUUGGUGUACCCAUGGGCACCACUGGAUUCUCUUCUACCCUGCUGGGCACUACUGCUUCCUCGGUGGGCAUUGUCACAACCACAAGAGUUUUUCCUCAGGGAUCCUCUGCUGACACAGCUCCAGCAGUGUGCCGUGGUCCACUGGGAGAAGAAAAAGUGCCUGGAGACACAUGGACGGCCAACUGCCACCAGUGCACCUGCAUGGCUGCCAGGUCUGUGGACUGCAGACCCCGGGAGUGCCCCGCCCCACCCACAUGUGGAGCCGGAGAGAAGGUGGUCACCUUCUCAUCUAGUGAUACAUACCUGCUGUGACAUUGGAC